CCAACGGCCAUUAAAAAUGGACCUUCCCACUCCUUAUAUAAACACAUAACACAAACACCACUCUUUCCGAAUUCGUUUUCUCAGAUUUCCCCACUAUUUUCUCGCCCAACAAACGCUCCCUAAAUCCCCGCCAAUACACACAUCCGCUCCAACCGCCGGCGUCCAUCCCUUUUCUCUAUUUAAUAGGAAGACUGCCAGGCAUUGUACUAAGACCCAUAAUACCAACACCAACUAGGAAGAUCAAGAAUCUGAUGAUAGAAUAAACAAAGGUAACAAGUUUACUUACGUUCUAGACCGGUGGUUGUGGAUGGCUGGGAGCUUUGUAAAUGGUGCCAGGGGAAAUUCAAAUUCCGUUGUCAAUUAUAUUAAGAUGGAACAUAAAGAUGGAGUGGUGUUUCCCCGCUUCUACACGGCUUUACCAACAUCAACAGCAUCCUCGUUCUCGUCAACACCGGAGAAAGAUGCCGCCGGUAACCGGAAAAAGAAAAGUAAGAGGAAGUUCUUGCGUGCAGUUAAGGCUGUACUCUUCGAGAUAUCAUUUGCUAAGAAGAUCAAGAAAAAAGUGUUUCCAAGGAAGACGAAGCAGUCUAAUGUUGAUCCAUCAGCAAAAGUUGAAAAGCAUUUGAACCAUGUGAAGGGAAACUCAUCGUUUCAAAAAUUUUCCAAGAAAAAUGACGGAACAAGCGUAACUUUUGCUCCUUCUAUGAAUUCUUCUGCUUGGUCUUCACGCAAUUCGCCAACGAAUUCAACGAAUUCCAAUCCAUUCGGGGACAAUAGACUUCCAUUUGAAUCAUAUAGUUCAUUUGAGACCCAAAAGAAGCAAGACAUGGAACAAGAGAAUAAUGGAAAAGGGAAUUAUAGUUCCAAUACAGGGUUGUUCUUGCUUCUCGUGACUCUCUCGGUUCUGGUCUGCUGGGGCAAGGUAUAUGCUAUCUUGUGGACUUCGACAUGGCUUUUCUUUGUCCCCAACUUGAAUGCACGGAAUAAAUUACUGAGAAGUA
rnacentral:misc_RNA from 1 species